UCCGUAGGUGGAUAAAUAAGUCAGAGGUGAAAUCCUGCAGCUCAACUGUAGAACUGCCUUUGAUACUGUUUAUCUUGAGUCGUUAUGAAGUGGUUAGAAUGUGUAGUGUAGCGGUGAAAUGCAUAGAUAUUACACAGAAUACCGAUUGCGAAGGCAGAUCACUAAUAAUGUACUGACACUAAGGGACGAAAGCGUGGGGAGCGAACAGGAUUAGAUACCCUGGUAGUCC
rnacentral:rRNA from 1 species